AUUGAACGCUGGCGGCAGGCCUAACACAUGCAAGUCGAACGAGUGGCGGACGGGUGUGUAAUGUCUGGGAAACUGCCUGAUGGAGGGGGAUAACUACUGGAAACGGUAGCUAAUACCGCAUACCAUCAGAUGUGCCCAGAUGGGAUCAGCUAGUUGGUGGGGUAACGGCUCACCAAGGCGACGAUCCCUAGCUGGUCUGAGAGGAUGACCAGCCACACAGGAACUGAGGCACGGUCAGGAUUCCUACGGGAGGCAGCAGUGGGGAAUAUUGCACAAUGGGCGCAAGCCUGAUGCAGCCAUGCCGCGUGUGUGAAGAAGGCCUUCGGGUUGUAAAGUGCUUUCAGCGAGGAGGCGUUACCCGCAGAAGAAGCGCCGGCUAACUCCGUGCCAGCAACCGCGGUAAUAC
rnacentral:rRNA from 1 species